GACGAACGCUGGCGGCGUGCUUAACACAUGCAGGUCGAACGGAAAGGCCCUGCUUUUGUGGGGUGCUCGAGUGGCGAACGGGUGAGUAACACGUGAGUAACCUGCCCUUGACUUUGGGAUAACUUCAGGAGACUGGGGCUAAUACCGGAUAGGAGCUCCUGCUGCAUGGUGGGGGUUGGAAAGUUUCGGCGGUUGGGGAUGGACUCGCGGCUUAUCAGCUUGUUGGUGGGGUAGUGGCUUACCAAGGCUUUGACGGGUAGCCGGCCUGAGAGGGUGACCGGCCACAUUGGGACUGAGAUACGGCCCAGACUCCUACGGGAGGCAGCAGUGGGGAAUAUUGCACAAUGGGCGGAAGCCUGAUGCAGCAACGCCGCGUGCGGGAUGACGGCCUUCGGGUUGUAAACCGCUUUCGCCUGUGACGAAGCGUGAGUGACGGUAAUGGGUAAAGAAGCACCGGCUAACUACGUG
rnacentral:rRNA from 1 species